rnacentral:misc_RNA from 1 species
GCAUAUCAUUUCUUCUUAGCUGGUUUAUUAUUUUCAGUUACUUUGCUUAUAAUUGGUGGUGAAUUAUAUGAAUUUUAUAAUUCUCCAAAAUGCAUUUAGUUGUUUGUCACACAUAAAUAUCUGUGGCUUCUAGGGAAACCUUCCAGAAGAUGAAUACUAAGUUGCAUUAUCCUCUUGAUUACUCUUCUAAAUGUUUAAGUAUUAGAUUGUGUGAUAUUCUCGUAGUGCUGAAUGUAAUCAUAUAUUUUAAAGGUUUGACAUUAUCCAUUUCUUGAAAAAUUUUUUCUGUUUCAAGGUGCAAGAUGUUUUGCUGGAGAUUUAAGAGGAGUAUCUAAUUCACUUUCCAUGAUAAGCUGUUAGGUUUAUUUAUUUAUUUAUAUAUGUGGGCCUUAAGUUAUCAAAUUUAAAAGUGGGUUUCCACAUAACAGAGCUGUAUAAAAUUUUAGAAAAAUUAUAGGUUGACAUCCACUGGUUUGUUGCUGAUCAGAUGAAACAGAAUUACUGUCAUUAUUUUUACUUUACAGUAUUGCAGUUAUCA